rnacentral:rRNA from 1 species
AGUGAACGCUGGCGGUAGGCCUAACACAUGCAAGUCGAACGGCAGCACAGUAAGAGCUUGCUCUUACGGGUGGCGAGUGGCGGACGGGUGAGGAAUACAUCGGAAUCUACUUUUUCGUGGGGGAUAACGUAGGGAAACUUACGCUAAUACCGCAUACGACCUACGGGUGAAAGCAGUGGAUCUUCGGACCUUGCGCGAUUGAAUGAGCCGAUGUCGGAUUAGCUAGUUGGCGGGGUAAAGGCCCACCAAGGCGACGAUCCGUAGCUGGUCUGAGAGGAUGAUCAGCCACACUGGAACUGAGACACGGUCCAGACUCCUACGGGAGGCAGCAGUGGGGAAUAUUGGACAAUGGGCGCAAGCCUGAUCCAGCCAUACCGCGUGGGUGAAGAAGGCCUUCGGGUUGUAAAGCCCUUUUGUUGAGAAAGAAAAGCAGCAGGUUAAUACCCCGCUGUUCUGACGGUACCCAAAGAAUAAGCACUGGCUAACUUCGU